rnacentral:rRNA from 1 species
UACGUAGGAACCGAGCGUUGUCCGGAAUCAUUGGGCGUAAAGAGCGUGUAGGCGGCCACUUAAGUCCUGCGUGAAAUCUUGCGGCUCAACCGCAAGCGGUCGUGGGAAACUGGGUGGCUAGAGUGCGGGAGAGGAGAGUGGAAUUCCUGGUGUAGCGGUGGAAUGCGCAGAUAUCAGGAGGAACACCGGUGGCGAAGGCGGUUCUCUGGGCAUGUCCUGACGCUGAGGAGCGAAAGUGUGGGGAGCGAACAGG